AACGCACAUUGCGCCCCUUGGUAUUCCGAGGGGCAUGCCUGUUCGAGCGUCAUUACAACCCUCAAGCUUAGCUUGGUAUUGGACCCCGUCGCUAAUCUGGCGGGUCUUAAAAUCAGUGGCGGUGUCGUUGAGGCCCUGAGCGUAGUAAAUAUCCUCGCUAUAGGGACCCGGCGGUUACUGGCCAUUAACCCCCAAUUCUCUAAGUUUGACCUCGGAUCAGGUAGGGAUACCCGCUGAACUUAA
rnacentral:misc_RNA from 1 species